GGCGAACGCUGGCGGCAGGCUUAACACAUGCAAGUCGAGCGCCCGGAGCAAUCCGGGAGCGGCAGACGGGAGAGUAACACGUGGGAACGUACCUUUCAGUUCGGAACAACCCAGGGAAACUUGGGCUAAUACCGAAUACGUCCGUAAGGAGAAAGAUUUAUCGCUGAAAGAUCGGCCCGCGUCUGAUUAGCUAGUUGGUGAGGUAAUGGCUCACCAAGGCGACGAUCAGUAGCUGGCUGAGAGGAUGAUCAGCAUCACUGGGACUGAGACACGGCCCAGACUCCUACGGGAGGCAGCAGUGGGGAAUAUUGGACAAUGGGCGCAAGCCUGAUCCAGCCAUGCCGCGUGGAUGAUGAAGGCCUUAGGGUUGUAAAGUCCUUUCGGCGGGGGAAGAUAAUGACGGUACCCGCAGAAGAAGCCCCCGGCUAACUUCGUG
rnacentral:rRNA from 1 species